CACUCCUGCGGGAGGCAGCAGUGGGGAAUAUUGCACAAUGGGCGCAAGCCUGAUGCAGCCAUGCCGCGUGUAUGAAGAAGGCCUUCGGGUUGUAAAGUACUUUCAGCGGGGAGGAAGGCGAUAAGGUUAAUAACCUUGUUGAUUGACGUUACCCGCAGAAGAAGCACCGGCUAACUCCGUGCCAGCAGCCGCGGUAAUACGGAGGGUGCAAGCGUUAAUCGGAAUUACUGGGCGUAAAGCGCACGCAGGCGGUCUGUCAAGUCGGAUGUGAAAUCCCCGGGCUCAACCUGGGAACUGCAUUCGAAACUGGCAGGCUAGAGUCUUGUAGAGGGGGGUAGAAUUCCAGGUGUAGCGGUGAAAUGCGUAGAGAUCUGGAGGAAUACCGGUGGCGAAGGCGGCCCCCUGGACAAAGACUGACGCUCAGGUGCGAAAGCGUGUGGAGCAAACAGGAUUAGAUACCCGUGUAGUCCC
rnacentral:rRNA from 1 species